rnacentral:rRNA from 1 species
GACGAACGCUGGCGGCGUGCUUAACACAUGCAAGUCGAACGCUGAAGCUUGGUGCUUGCACUGGGUGGAUGAGUGGCGAACGGGUGAGUAAUACGUGAGUAACCUGCCCUUGACUCUGGGAUAAGCCUGGGAAACUGGGUCUAAUACUGGAUAUGACAUGCCACUGCAUGGUGGUGUGUGGAAAGGGGUUUAGUGGUUUUGGAUGGGCUCACGGCCUAUCAGCUUGUUGGUGGGGUAAUGGCCUACCAAGGCGACGACGGGUAGCCGGCCUGAGAGGGUGACCGGCCACACUGGGACUGAGACACGGCCCAGACUCCUACGGGAGGCAGCAGUGGGGAAUAUUGCACAAUGGGCGGAAGCCUGAUGCAGCGACGCCGCGUGAGGGAUGACGGCCUUCGGGUUGUAAACCUCUUUCAGCACGGAAGAAGCGAGAGUGACGGUACGUGCAGAAGAAGCGCCGGCUAACUACGUG